GACGAACGCUGGCGGCGUGCUAAACACAUGCAAGUCGAGCGGAAAGGCCACUUCGGUGGUACUCGAGCGGCGAACGGGUGAGUAACACGUGAGUAAUCUGCCCCUCACUUUGGGAUAGCCACCGGAAACGGUGAUUAAUACCGGAUAUGACCAUAUGUCGCAUGGCGUGUGGUGGAAAGUUUUUCGGUGAGGGAUGUGCUCGCGGCCUAUCAGCUUGAUGGUGAGGUAAUGGCUCACCAUGGCUUCGACGGGUAGCCGGCCUGAGAGGGUGACCGGUCACACUGGGACUGAGACACGGCCCAGACUCCUACGGGAGGCAGCAGUGGGGAAUAUUGGACAAUGGGCGGAAGCCUGAUCCAGCAACGCCGCGUGAGGGAUGACGGCCUUCGGGUUGUAAACCUCUUUCAGUACCGACGAAGCGCAAGUGACGGUAGGUACAGAAGAAGCACCGGCCAACUACGUG
rnacentral:rRNA from 1 species